rnacentral:rRNA from 1 species
UACGUAGGGGGCGAGCGUUGUUCGGAUUUACUGGGCGUAAAGGGCGCGUAGGCGGCGCGACAAGUCACUUGUGAAAUCUCUGAGCUUAACUCAGAACGGCCAAGUGAAACUGUUGUGCUAGAGUGCAGAAGGGGCAAUCGGAAUUCUUGGUGUAGCGGUGAAAUGCGUAGAUAUCAAGAGGAACACCUGAGGUGAAGACGGGUUGCUGGGCUGACACUGACGCUGAAGCGCGAAAGCCAGGGGAGCAAACGGG